GGGAUUAAACAGUAAAAAGCCAAUGUACUAAAAUUGGAACGAUAUAGAGAAGGUUAGCAGUGGCCUUUGGAAAAGGAUGGCAUGUAAAUUUGUGAAGGGGUCCAUAUUUCG